CACUGUGGUGGCCCCGAGGCCCUGCGGGGAGUCUGGGGGUCGACUGGCCGCUCGGACUUGGCGCGGGGUUGGCCACGCCUCUCCCUACCUCGGUGCGGCCUAGACGGUCGGGGCCGCGGGGAAAUGGAGCCCUCUCCCGCCACGGGGGGCUCUGAGACCACUCGCCUGGUGAGCCCCCGAGACCGCGGCGGCGCUGGUGGCGGCCUGCGUUUGAAGAGUCUCUUCACAGAGCCCUCCGAGCCCCUCCCUGAGGAGCCCAAACCCGUGGAGAUGUCCUUCCACCACUGCCACAGGGACCCUCUGCCACAGCCAGGUCUCACCCCUGAGAGGCUGCAGGCGCAGAGGCAGCUGUGUGCCGCCUGUGCUGUGUGCUGCGUCUUCAUGGCCGGGGAAGUAGUCGGUGGGUAUUUGGCGCACAGCCUGGCCAUUAUGACGGAUGCAGCCCACCUGUUGGCAGAUGUGGGCAGCAUGAUGGGCAGCCUCUUCUCCCUCUGGCUCUCUACCCGUCCAGCCACCCGCACCAUGACCUUUGGCUGGCACCGCUCAGAGACUCUGGGGGCUUUGGCCUCUGUGGUCUCCCUCUGGAUGGUCACUGGCAUCCUCCUGUACCUGGCCUGCAUCCGCCUGCUGCACAGCGACUACCACAUCGAGGGGGGUGCCAUGCUGCUGACCGCCAGCAUCGCAGUCUGUGCCAAUCUGCUAAUGGCCUUUGUGCUGCACCAGGCCGGGCCCCACCACAGCCACGGGUCCAGGGGGGCAGACUAUGCACCGCUGGAGGAGGGGCCCGGGGAGCCCCUGCCCCUGGGGAACACCAGCGUCCGGGCGGCCUUUGUGCACGUGCUGGGGGACCUUCUGCAGAGCCUUGGGGUGCUGGCCGCCUCCAUCCUCAUCUACUUCAAGCCUCAAUACAAGGCAGCUGACCCCAUCAGCACCUUUCUCUUCUCCAUCUGUGCUCUUGGAUCCACCGCUCCCACCCUCCGAGAUGUUCUCCGCGUCCUCAUGGAAGGUACCCCCCGAAGUGUGGGGUUUGAACCUGUGCGGGAUACCCUGUUGUCAGUGCCAGGAGUUCGGGCAACCCACGAGCUGCACCUGUGGUCCCUCACGCUUACUUACCAUGUUGCCUCCGCACACCUGGCCAUUGCCAUCAUCUGCUUUUAGUGCAACAACAUCCUACGUGGCUUCUCUAAUGGUGGGAUGGCUGCUACCCCCAGCUCUUCUGGCAGUCAUUCUCGACCCCGCACCAUCACCAGCAAGGUCGCCCACAGUCUACAGGAUAUCAUCACAGAAUCACACACGCCAACCGAGGCUACGCUGGCAAAUUCCAACUCGACCCUUUCAACUUAAAGCCCUCAGUGCCUGUGGUUAUAGACUCCUAUUUCUGUUGGAAUCUACAUCCAAACCUCUUGGUCUGGCUCAUCAGACUCUCAACCCUAACAAUAUGCCUAACAACAUGGAGCAGAAAGGUCCUGCUGGGUCUAGGCGUAUGUCCUCACUGUGCUGCAGACACAGAACUACCACUCCUAUGUUCAAGCUGGAAGGCAAGAUUCUUCACCCUCCUCCCAUCCACCUGGCACAGCUUGCCCUUUCCUCGGGAACCAGCCCAAACCCCAACCCCGUGGAUCCUUCUGACACCAGGAGACCCAUGCUGGUCUCUUCUGAGAACCAGCUCCCCCCACACACCUUAGACUUGUUCUCUGGUUGUUUAGAUUUGUGCGGCUUGUCUCUCCCACUGAUUCUGAAUGCCCUUAAAGCCUGAAAUAACUUCUUCCUUUUUAACAGAAAGGUGAGUGUGAAGUCAGGUGGUCCUGAUAUUUGAAUCCUAGCGAUGUGACUUUGGUUAAGCCACCUGGUAAUCUUCUGAGUGUUUCGCGUCUGUAAAAUGGUUGGACGUUUGGCGUAGGAUUAAAUAUAUGUGGAAAGUCCCUGCUCAUGCUAAGUUUUCAAAAAAACGAGUUCCGUCUCCUUUUCCCAUCCCUGCAACUUGCUGAUAGCUAACAGCUCUUUGCACAAAGCAGGUUCUUCCUGAAUGAUGUUGGAGUAGUUUGGACCAUCGUGGGCCAAUUCAAUCUGUAGAAGUCGCUGGAG